GACGGAGGAUGCAAGCGUUAUCCGGAAUGAUUGGGCGUAAAGCGUCCGCAGGUGGCAGUUCAAGUCUGCUGUCAAAGACCGGGGCUUAACUUCGGAAAGGCAGUGGAAACUGAACAGCUAGAGUAUGGUAGGGGCAGAGGGAAUUCCUGGUGUAGCGGUGAAAUGCGUAGAGAUCAGGAAGAACAUCGGUGGCGAAGGCGCUCUGCCGGACCAUAACUGACACUCAGGGACGAAAGCUAGGGGAGCGAAUGGG
rnacentral:rRNA from 1 species